GUGUCAGCAGCCGCGGUAAUACGAGUGCCCCAAGCGUUAUCCGGAAUCAUUGGGCGUAAAGGGUGUGUAGGCGGCGUUGUUAGUCUUCUGUCAAAAUCUCGGGCUUAACCCGAGACCUGCAGUGGAAACGGCAAUGCUAGAGAGUGCGAGAGGUGAAUGGAACUCAUGGAGUAGGGGUGAAAUCCGUUGAUAUCAUGGGGAACACCAAAAGCGAAGGCAAUUCACUGGCGCAUUUCUGACGCUGAAACACGAAAGCGUGGGUAGCGAACGGGAUUAGAUACCCCGGUAGUCC
rnacentral:rRNA from 1 species